rnacentral:rRNA from 1 species
AACGAACGUUGGCGGCGUGGCUUAGGCAUGCAAGUCGAACGAGAAAGUUUCCUUCGGGGAGCGAGUAUAGUGGCAAAAGGGUGAGUAAUGAUUAGUUAACCUACCCUAAAACUGGGAUAACUACCCGAAAGGGUUGCUAAUACCGGAUGGUCUAUGAGAGAUGCAUAUCUUUUAUAGUAAAGGCGCUCGCAAGGGUGUCGAUUAGGGAGGGGAUUAAUUCCUAUUAGCUAGUUGGUGAGGUAAUGGCUCUACCAAGGCAUUGAUGGGUAACCGAUCUGAGAGGAUGACCGGUCACACUGGGACUGAGACACUGCCCAGACUCCUACGGGAGGCUGCAGUCGCGAAUAUUCCGCAAUGGACGCAAGUCUGACGGAGCGACGCCGCGUGUGGGAUGAAGGCCUUAGGGUUGUAAACCACUGUCACACUUUAAGAAAUCAAUUAGGGUAACUCCUAGUUGUUGACAAAGGAGUGGAAGGAAGUCACGGCUAACUACGUGCCAGCAGCCGCGGUAAG